CUAGAAUUUCAGGCACAGUCGGCCAAGAAUAAGCUCAAUUGGGCCGCCAACACCGAAGCAGCUGCAACCGUCUACCGUGGGGAGUCGUCAUCUGUUAGGGCACACAUGCGGAAGAUGAGACACAAUUCGGACGCCCAUCAAUCAGAUGGAGGUGUUCGAGAAGGUAUACAAAAAGAAGGAGAAUGGCUAGUGGAGCGGCCCGAGGCGGAGGAGGUCGCGGAGAUGGUUUUGAGGAUGAUGGAGGAUCGUCAAGGACAGCAUAACAGCAAUGAAAAGCAUCCAUUGUCCUCUUAAGGCUCCAUGGCCCGGUUGAGCAGCAAGUCUGGUAGUCAGCAGCAGGUGGCCGGAAGAGGGGCCGAGUAUUCAAUCUAGGCUCUAAGACCCAUCACUUGAUCGUUGGACCAUCCCAGACGACCCAAUUGACUACUCCCUCGCCCUCGCCACCACACCCGCAACGCCCUGACAUAGAUUAUCGGGUGUCGGCACUCGAGUGCUACAUCAAAAGCGCUGAUUCAAACUGGCCCGAGUAAUCUAGCACCCGAGACUCCAGGUGAUGCCUCGGUACCCGAUGAUGACGAACAAGCGGCUGUUGGGGAUAAUAAUUUAGUUUAGAAUUCUUUUUGGU